rnacentral:rRNA from 1 species
GGCAAAGCUCAAAUUUGAAAUCUGGCGUCUUUGGCGUCCGAGUUGUAAUUUGAAGAAGGUAUCUUUGGGCCCGGCUCUUGUCUAUGUUCCUUGGAACAGGACGUCACAGAGGGUGAGAAUCCCGUGCGAUGAGAUGACCCGGGUCUGUGUAAAGUUCCUUCGACGAGUCGAGUUGUUUGGGAAUGCAGCUCUAAGUGGGUGGUAAAUUCCAUCUAAAGCUAAAUAUUGGCGAGAGACCGAUAGCGAACAAGUACAGUGAUGGAAAGAUGAAAAGAACUUUGAAAAGAGAGUGAAAAAGUACGUGAAAUUGUUGAAAGGGAAGGGCUUGAGAUCAGACUUGGUAUUUUGCAUGCUGCUCUCUCGGGGGCGGCCGCUGCGGUUUACCGGGCCAGCAUCGGUUUGGAGCGGCAGGAUAAUGGCGGAGGAAUGUGGCACGGCUUCUGCUGUGUGUUAUAGCCUCUGACGAUGCUGCCAGCCUAGACCGAGGACUGCGGUUUUUAACCUAGGAUGUUGGCAUAAUGAUCUUAAGUCGCCCGUCUUGAAACACGGACCAAGGAGUCUAACGUCUAUGCGAGUGUUUGGGUGUAAAACCCGUACGCGUAAUGAAAGUGAACGAAGGUGGGGGCCCAUUAGGGUGCACCAUCGACCGAUCCUGAUGUGUUCGGAUGGAUUUGAGUAAGAGCAUAGCUGUUGGACCCGAAAG